GCAAAUGGUGUGGUAGAGUUCACAGUGAUAGGGGAGAGAAAUUGAAGAUCAAGCCUUACUUAAUUCUUAGCUCAUUUGGACAUGAUAACACGGGGAGUGGAAAGAACUGAUGGUCAAGAGACCCGAUCAUACUUCACCAUUAGGGGGAUACCAGAGGACAACUAGAAGAAAGGCAGAAUUCUCAUCAAUCCCAGGAGUAACAAGACCACCCUCACCACUGUGUCUGUGGAAACCACUUGGGCGUAAUAAUGAAGCCUUUCUGUCCCUCCCAGCCAGGACACUAUCAACAGAAGCCUAGAGAGGAGUCAGAAUUUCUACCCUCAUCUAUUACUGGGAUAUUUUGGUGGUCCAGGCUGGGUGGAUAAUGGGCUCAACUGAAACCCAGUGGGGACCUGAAUUUUACCUUUUCCUAACAGUAAUGAGUUGGUGCCCUACCCCUGCCACUAUUACAGCAGUGUCAGAGAAAAUCAGCUAGAAACAUAAGUUUUUACGUAAGAUCUAGAAUCUUGUAAAAUAAUAAAUAGUAUGGGUUUAAAUUGAUAUCACUCAUUAUACCAAGAACCAGGAAGACCUCAAACUGAAUGAAAAAAAAUAAUAAAUUCUAUGAUCAAGAUGACAGAGAUAUUAUAAUUAUCUGAGAUUUUAAAGCAGCCAUCAUAAAAGUGCUUCAAUGAGCAUUUACAAACAUACUUGAAUCAAAAGAAAAAAUAAAGUUUUAGCAAAGAAAUAAAGGCUUGACAAAUAGAGAAGAUAUAAAGAAGAAAAAAAGGAAUUCGAGAAUCAAAAAAUGUAGCAACCAAAAUAAAAAUUAAAACCAAAAACCCUCAAUUAUAGAUGCCUAUGCAAAUUGAAAGAGACAGAGGAAAGAAUCAGUGAACUGGAAGACAGAAAGAAUAAAUUACCCAGUCUGAACAAUAGAGAAAAAAAGACAAAAAUUGAACAGAGCCUUAUAGCUCUGUGGGGCUAUAAUAAAAAAUGUAACAUUUUGUGUCAUAAUAAUCCUGGGAGGAGAGAAGAAUGAGGGAAGACUGAAAAAAGUACUCAAGGAAACAGUGCCUAAUAAGUUAUCAAAUUUGGCAAAAGGCAUAAAUUUACAAAUUCAGGAACCUAAGUGAACUCCAAAUGCAAUAGAGCCAAGAAAAUAUGCCAAGAUACAUCAUAGUCAAGUAUCUGGAAACUAAAGACAAAGAAAAUACCAUGAAAUCACUGAGAGAAAUAUCAUCAUACUUAUGAAAGAAAAAAAAUACACCUGACAAAGAAUUCCUCUUCAGAAACUUGGAUGCCAGAAAAAAGUGGGACAGCAUUUUCAACUGUUGAAAAGUGAGGAACUGCAACCCCAAAUCCUAUAUCCAG
rnacentral:lncRNA from 1 species